UACGUAGGGGGCAAGCGUUGUCCGGAAUCAUUGGGCGUAAAGAGCGUGUAGGUGGUUUAGUAAGUCUGCUGUGAAAGUCCAGGGCUCAACCCUGGAAUGCCGGUGGAUACUGUUGAACUUGAGUACGGAAGAGGCGAGUGGAACUCCUGGUGUAGCGGUGAAAUGCGCAGAUAUCAGGAAGAACACCAAUAGCGAAGGCAGCUCGCUGGUACGUAACUGACACUGAGACGCGAAAGCGUGGGGAGCAAACAGG
rnacentral:rRNA from 1 species